rnacentral:tRNA from 1 species
GAGGGUAUAGCUCAAGUUGUGAAGCACAUGCUUAGCAUGCAUGAGGUCCUGGGUUCAAUCCCUGGUACCUCCA